GGCCAUGAUGAAAGAUCAAUAUGGUAACUACGCCGUACAGAAAGUGUUAGAGAUGUGCGACGAUCAGCAGCGCGAGCUGAUCCUCUCGCGAAUCAAGGACCAAACGAUACCUGCAAAACAUCACGAUCAAGGAUCGAUCAAGAAGCUGCAUCCUUUCGAGAAAUACAUCCUUUAUUUCUCAUUACAUUGAUUAAAAUACAUCACACAGAAAAGAGUUGUACACAUCUAAGGGUCUUCUUCAACUUAUUUUGAAAGGGUGCAUCCUUUUAUUUUACAAACUCAAUGUGAAUUCAUACGAGAUUCUUGUAAUAGAUUUGUGAAGCUCAGUCAUAUUGAUCGAUACAAAUAAUAAGCUCAACUUAUCAAUUAGUACACAA